UACGUAGGCAGCGAGCGUUUGUUCGGAAUUACUGGGCGUAAAGAGUGUGUAGGCGGUGUUCCAAGUUCGGUGUGAAAUCUCCCGGCUUAACUGGGAGGUGCGCCGAAACUGGAAUGCUCGAGCGUGGGAGAGGAAAGCGGAAGUCCUGGUGUAGCGGUGAAAUGCGUAGAUAUCAGGAGGAACACCAGCGGUGUAGACGGCUUUCUGGACCAUUGCUGACGCUGAGACACGAAAGCGUGGGUAGCAAACAGG
rnacentral:rRNA from 1 species